rnacentral:rRNA from 1 species
GACGUAGGGUGCGAGCGUUGUCCGGAUUUAUUGGGCGUAAAGAGCUCGUAGGCGGCUCGUCGCGUCGACCGUGAAAACCCGCGGCUUAACCGCGGGCUUGCGGUUGAUACGGGCGGGCUAGAGUUCGGUAGGGGAGACGUGGAAUUCCUGGUGUAGCGGUGAAAUGCGCAGAUAUCAGGAGGAACACCGGUGGCGAAGGCGGGUCUCUGGGCCGAUACUGACGCUGAGGCGCGAAAGCGUGGGGAGCAAACAGG